rnacentral:tRNA from 1 species
GGGCCCGUGGUGUAGCGGUUAACAUGGAGCCCUGUCAAGGCUCAGAGCGCGGGUUCAAAUCCCGUCGGGCCCG